CUUACGGUUGAAAGCUUUAGCGUCUGAGGAUGGGUCUGCGGCCGAUUAGGUAGUUGCUGGGGUAACGUCCCAACAAGCCGAUAAUCGGUACGGGUUGUGAGAGCAAGAGCCCGGAGAUGGAUUCUGAGACACGAAUCCAGGUCCUACGGGGCGCAGCAGGCGCGAAAACUUUACACUGCGCGAAAGCGCGAUAAGGGGACCUCGAGUGCGUGCGCAAUGCGUACGCUUUUCAGAUGCCUAAAAAGCAUGUGGAAUAAGGGCCGGGCAAGACCGGUGCCAGCCGCCGCGGUAACACCGGCGGCUCAAGUGGUGGCCGCUAUUAUUGGGCUUAAAGGGUCCGUAGCCGGACCAGUUAGUCCCUUGGGAAAUCUUACGGCUUAACCGUAAGGCUGCCAAUGGAUACUGCUGGUCUUGGGACCGGGAGAGGUAAGAGGUACCUCAGGGGUAGGAGUGAAAUCCUGUAAUCCUUGAGGGACCGCCAGUGGCGAAGGCGUCUUACUAGAACGGGUCCGACGGUGAGGGACGAAAGCUAGGGGCACGAACCGGAUUAGAUACCCGGGUAGUCCUAGCCGUAAACGAUGCGAGCUAGGUGUCACGUGGAUUGCGAAUCCAUGUGGUGCCGAAGGGAAACCGUGAAGCUCGCCGCCUGGGAAGUACGGCCGCAAGGCUGAAACUUAAAGGAAUUGGCGGGGGAGCAC
rnacentral:rRNA from 1 species